GAGGGACUUGGAUUCUCUUGACAUUUGCCGCAAUAUCAGCAAGGAUUUGCCUGGAUGGCAAAUCCAAGUUCCAUGCGCCAUGGAUGGCGCAUUGGAACUGGUUGCGUACGGUCGAAAUAAUCUUGCGCAAAUGCUUAGAGAAGCCA
rnacentral:ncRNA from 1 species